rnacentral:rRNA from 1 species
AUACGGAGGAUGCAAGCGUUAUCCGGAUUUACUAGGUUUAAAGGGUGCGCAGGCGGAAUGGUAAGUCAGUGGUGAAAGCUCCCCGCUUAACGGGGAAAUUGCCAUUGAAACUGUCAUUCUUGAGUGUAGUUGAGGUGGUUGGAAUGUGUUGUGUAGCGGUGAAAUGCGUAGAUAUAACACAGAACGCCAAUUGCGAAGGCAGACCACUAAACUACUACUGAUGCUGAGGCACGAAAGCGUGGGGAGCGAACAGGAUUAGAUACCCCAGUAGUCC